rnacentral:lncRNA from 1 species
ACAUGCAGUAUUUAUUCCAUAAUAUGUCUACAAAUGAUAUAUUUAAUAUGCUAUUCAAGAUGACUCUUUAAACACCUUAAGCAAUGAUUAAUUGAUCGAAUUGUCCCACAGAACCUUUCUAGAAAAUAGAAAAAGCAUAAUGAUAAAGAAAGAUGCAGGAAAAGAAUAUAGAGAAUGCAAAAGUGGGGAAGACUGCUCAGAAAAGAAUGAGUGGAAGGGAGAAUAUUGGUACCAUAACACUUAAUGCCUAAGAAAAAAAAUGCUGAAAAUUAGGAGGAAAACAAAGAGAAAAAAGAUACAGGAAUCAUACAACUUGAUUUUUUUCCCACUUUACAAUUUUUGCCUAAGAUCAGUCAUUCUUAGUACAGGCUGAACUUUUUAGCAGAGAGAAUAAAAAUGAUUAAAGAGUAUAUGAUUUAAAAAUAAGGGUAGACCACCCCGGCAGUAUAUUCUGCCGGCCACAUAAUUCAUAUUUUCACAUACAUUUGUUAAGAGUCAAAUGUCUAACUUUGUCGUAUUUUUACUUAUGACAAAAGCAAAAAUGUUCUCAUGUAUCGAAUUUCCUGGAUAUUAGAAAAACUGCAAAUAUAUGUGGAAGUAGUUGCAAAAAUUAUUUUAUCUCUGCAGCAGGUAGAUGCUGAGCUGAAAUUGGAGCCUACAGAAAUGUGCAGAGUUACUCUGAUUUAGCAAAGAGUUUCUGGAAAAUAUGCUGAUUUUCAUGGCUUAGUAAAUAUUUUUUUAGAACUUCUAAAGUGAUAUAGCUCAUAGUAAUGUAAUUAUGAACUCCUGUUUUGAAAACGUUCUUCUUUUUGCUCACAUAGUAAUUGCAAUAAAAGCAUGGAGAAAAAGCCAGAUGGAAGAAUUGUUUUAAAACAAGUAACCCACCAGUGGAUGAGAAGACACUACAACUUCAGUUAAUUCUAGCAACCAAAUAUAAGGUAUGGGAUUCAUCUACCAGCGUUAUUUUUAUUUCUUAAAAAAAAAAAAUCCUAAAAUUUCAGUCAGUAAGAGUUAAUUUAAAAUGUCAUUGCUUUUAUUUGAGAAAAACCUAGUCAAAUAUUUCCAAUGAUUUUUUUUUUUCAAGUUUUGGGUUUUUUGGUUUUGUGGCUCUUGUUCCUUUUCCUCAGUAUAAUAAUAUACAUUUGGGGAGUUCCCUUCGUGGCUCAGCGUGGCUCAGUGGUUAAUUAACCUGACUAGGAUCCAUAAGGAUGCCCUUGCUCAGUGGGUUAAGGAUCGGGCGUUGCCCUGAGCUGCGGUUUAGGCUGCCCACUUGGCUUGGAUCCUGCGUCACUGCCAGCACCUGUAGCUCCUAUUUGACCCCUAUCCUGGGAGCUACCAUAUGCCACGGGUGCUUCCCUAAAAUAGCAAAUAUAUAUAAAUAUAUAUAUAUUUGAGGGGGAAAAUCCAAUAAAAAUGGAUAUUUUAAUCAGAUCACCAAAAUCCUUGAGCGAGCAUUUUAAUUCUUCUUCACAGAUAAUUUCUAAGAUAGUACUGUUUCUCUUCUAUAUUCCUAAGCCAAAAGUACUGUUGGUUAUUCAAUUUUUUCUAAUAAUAGUUUAAAUAUAUAAGAAAUGAUCCCAUCAGGAAAUGAAUAUGAAAAAGAAAAGAAAUAUCCUUUAUCAUUAAAAUUUUCACAAGUGUAGUUUUUAGAGGUAGAUGGAAAAGCAAUAGUGGAGGACCAAAACGUGGAAUGGAAAAACUCUAGAUUUAAGGCAAGAAUAAUCAUUGUAGAAUGCAAAUCAGUUGUACCACUCUCUUGCCUAAAUUCUGUCAAUGGCUUCCCACAAGCUACAGUGAAAAGGCCAAAGCUCUUAGCAUAGUCCUGUCAUUUUCACUGGGGAGCUAUUCUGCUGCCCUAGAAGGCAUUCGGGAAUUAGUAAUGUAUCAGCGUUUACUGCUAUCUAAUACAUUAUUUAUUCCCUAACUCAGCAGCUUAAAACAACAUGUUUAUUACCUCCAUGAGCCUUUGUGGAUCAGGAAUCAGGAUGUUCUGGGUAGUUCUGGCUCUGAGGAAGUGGUCGCCAGUUGGACUCUUGGUCAGAACUCUGAUCAUCUCACUGGCAGGGCAGUCUGGUUCACGUGCAGUCACAGGAGGCUUCAUUUCCUGGGGCUGUUUAGAGGAUAUGGCAGCUGGCUUUUCCCUGAGCAAGAUGAGUGGGUGAGUGAUGUGCAUGUGUGUGUGUAUGUGUGUGUGUGUGUGUGUACAGUGGUGAGCGUAGGAAGAAUUUGGAUGAUCGGAGACCCUCCUGGAGACUGGCUAGCUGCCGAAAGUAAAAACACUUGUGGUUUGUCAUAAUGACUAGAGAUUCCCAUUAACACGGACAAAAACCAAGGAUAUUAAAAUCUUGUUCAAGAAGGAAUCCAUCAGGAAGCUGCCAGCAGUGCUGCCGAAUAGCUCUCCUGCGCUACGGUCUCUGUAGACACACUCCUGGCUCCAUUACACGUGGCUUCUUAAAGUUCCCUGUAAAAUCCUCUGCCUUCGACGUCCACAAAUCUUCCUUCUGACUUCAGUGCCUCUUCACCUUAGCAACCUUUCCAACUCCCUUUUUGGGAGUUAGUACAAAUUCCUUCAUCUGCUGGAUGCGUUCCCUGUUACGUUAAGCCAAUGAGCCCUUGCUUUUCUCAGCCCUAUUUUCAUUCUUGUGAUGGCACACUCAUGACACUGCUGUUAUUACCUCUAACAGCCCUUCUCCCCCAGGAGACUGUGAGCCCCUGCAGGAAUACGUUUUAUAAUCUAAAUCUCAGGGUCCCCAAACCUUACACAGCUCCCGCACAUAGGAAGCACUUCUUAAUA